UACGGGGGGGGGCAAGCGUUGUUCGGAAUUACUGGGCGUAAAGGGCUCGUAGGCGGCCAACUAAGUCAGACGUGAAAUCCCUCGGCUUAACCGGGGAACUGCAUCUGAUACUGGAUGGCUCGAGUUUGGGAGAGGGAUGCGGAAUUCCAGGUGUAGCGGUGAAAUGCGUAGAUAUCUGGAAGGAACACCGGUGGCGAAGGCGGCUCUCUGGGGACGGUACUGACGCUGAGACGCGAAAGCGUGGGGA
rnacentral:rRNA from 1 species